UACAGGAGACCUCAAGCGUUAUCCGGAAUCAUUGGGCGUAAAGCGUGCCGAUAGGUGGUUUUACAAGUCAGAAGUGAAAUCUCAAAGCUCAACUUUGAGACUGUCUUUUGAAACUGUAAAACUAGAGGGGCAAAGAGGAAGCUGGAACGAACGGUGUAGUAGUGAAAUGCGUUGAUAUCGUUCGGAACACCAAUAGCGUAGGCAGGCUUCUGGGUGCCACC
rnacentral:rRNA from 1 species